UCUCUGUGUUUCACUUUGAUGUCUUAUUUUGAAAAACCGGAAAUUGUUCCGCUGAAGUCACUCUUCCGGGAGACGUCCGGGUGAUAACUUGACGGAGAAGAACUCCGAUCUCAAAUUGACCGCAAAUUACAGACCUAACUUUGAUUUAUCCCAUCUUCGCCUUCGGAGCGAACGUAACAUGCCAAGACGCAGGAGACUGUUCACCGGCUGGGCAACGCUGGUCCCUCCGCCCGCCCGAACGGGCCCGUUUUAGGCGGGUGCCGCCGGUCGGGAACAGUGGGGACUAGUGGCUGCGGUUCGGUGCCAGCUGCACUGGGUCGGAGGGGGUCAAAAACCCACCAUCAACAUCAAGGCUGAACAUCCCUCCAGCAUGGGUGUGAAAUCUUCAGGCUGUGACCCACCGCUUCAGUCAGAGGUCUGU